rnacentral:rRNA from 1 species
GGAAAAGAAAUCAACCGAGAUUCCCUCAGUAGCGGCGAGCGAACGGGGACCAGCCCUUAAGCUGGACAACUGGUAGGAGAAGGCCCUGGAAAGAGCCGCCAUAGUGGGUGAUAGCCCCGUAUCCGAAACCUGAGUCCAGUGAAAUCGAGUAGGACGGGACACGAGACAUCCUGUCUGAACAUGGGGGGACCAUCCUCCAAGGCUAAAUACUCCUGACUGACCGAUAGUGAACCAGUACCGUGAGGGAAAGGCGAAAAGAACCCCUGUGAGGGGAGUGAAAUAGAUCCUGAAACCGUAUGCGUACAAGCAGUCGGAGCGGACUUGUUCCGUGACGGCGUACCUUUUGUAUAAUGGGUCAGCGACUUAAUUUAUCGAGCAAGCUUAAGCCGUUAGGUGUAGGCGUAGCGAAAGCGAGUCUUAAUAGGGCGCCUCAGUUCGUUGAAUUAGACCCGAAACCGAGUGAUCUAGGUAUGAGCAGGUUGAAGGUG